UACGUAGGGUGCGAGCGUUGUCCGGAAUUAUUGGGCGUAAAGAGCUUGUAGGCGGUCUGUCGCGUCUGCUGUGAAAAUCCGGGGCUCAACCUCGGGCCUGCAGUGGGUACGGGCAGACUAGAGUGCGGUAGGGGAGAUUGGAAUUCCUGGUGUAGCGGUGGAAUGCGCAGAUAUCAGGAGGAACACCAAUGGCGAAGGCAGAUCUCUGGGCCGUAACUGACGCUGAGGAGCGAAAGCAUGGGGAGCGAACAGG
rnacentral:rRNA from 1 species